UAGGGAAUCUUGCGCAAUGGGCGAAAGCCUGACGCAGCGAUGCCGCGUGUGGGAUGAAGGCCUUCGGGUCGUAAACCACUUUCAGCAGGGACGAAAUUGACGGUACCUGCAGAAGAAGCCCCGGCCAACUACGUGCCAGCAGCCGCGGUAAUACGUAGGGGGCAAGCGUUGUCCGGAUUUAUUGGGCGUAAAGAGCUCGUAGGCGGUUUGGCAAGUCACGUGUGAAAUCUCCACGCUCAACGUGGAGGGGUCACGUGAGACUGCUAUGACUAGAGUCCGGUAGGGGAGUGUGGAAUUCCCGGUGUAGCGGUGAAAUGCGCAGAGAUCGGGAGGAACACCCGUAGCGAAGGCGGCACUCUGGGCCGGUACUGACGCUGAGGAGCGAAAGCGUGGGGAGCAAACAGG
rnacentral:rRNA from 1 species